AGCCCAUCAAAAAUUGCUUACGAAAGAAUGUAAGCCCAGUGCUUAUAGUUGGAGGUUUACGGUAGAUUGUAAAAAAACUGCAGAACUGAUAAGAUGGUGUCCAUGGGAUACAAUACUUAUGGUAUAAUCAGGGAAGUGACGAAAACACAUGCAGUACAGGAAAACUGGGGUAGGGCCAAGACUGUACCACUACAGGUUCCCCAGCUCUAUCCUUACAAAUAAAAGAAAUGUCAAUAUUACACCAGACACCAAUAAACAAUUUUGCAGCUUCUGCUAAACUUUUGUUUCAAUGUUUUUU